UUCACUGCAAGCUGCAGGGGUUGACUUUCACCAGCAGGAGCCAGACAUUUUAAAGGUUAAGAAGGUGGCCUUUAUAGCUAUGGUGAUAAAUGCCACUGCCAAGGUGGAGAGCAGGUCCAGGAAGAUAGAAAUGAUUGUGGAUGUGGCGGAGCGAUUCCUGGAGCUGAAAGAUUUCUCAGUACCACCCUCUCAGGCCCUACAUCCUGAGAAGUUUCAACCUGUCCAGUUGGUGGCGGCAAUACACCUUUUGGGGUUGUAGUCCGCCAUAAAACCCACAGAAGCAGAAGAAGAAUACAAACGAAGAAGACCGACACAUCCAAACUGUCCAUUUUCAUACCCUGGCAUAUUCCUUUCAACCUGUUCGUCGUUACCCCCUAGUAUUACUGCCAGGUCCUUUUGCGCAAAAUAAUGUAGUUGUAGACAGAUUACACUGCAGGCUGAACAAUUGCGAGUGGUACACUUGUGUCAACUGCACUGCGAUAUGUUGCAAAUAAGCAGCCCUACAUGACCUGGGUGUAGGUGGUGAGCCAGGACAACUACCUUGUAUUGUUAACCACAGGUUCUUCACCAUGCUCUGUGAAGAGGGAGUCCUUUUGGAGGUGGCCAUGCUAUCUCUGAAGGACGUACGGGCAGAAAGUUUGGAGCGCCCAAUAAACAGCAGUCUUUACAGAUUGAAUGCCUAUAGGCAAUGCACCAUGUGGGCAAGAGGAACAGAGUGCCUAUAACUGGCUGUGUGGUACAUUGAAACCGAUCACAAUUCACUUCUAAGGAGUGCUACAGAUUUGAAUAUGCUUUUUAUGAUUGUAACAUUUGACCUGCUCAUGCAGCCUACUUUACAUGUUUAUUCUUCAUCUGUUUUAUGCAGCCUACUGUACUAAAUUGUGUAAUGAAAAACAAAAUGGCUAUUACGUAUGAAUUUCUCCAUGCUGAAUGUCUUUAAGCAAUUUCAUUUAUUCCACCACCACCAAAUUGUUCCCUAUAGAGCAUAUACGAAAGGCUUGCCUC